ensembl:lncRNA
ACCUGCAUUCCCAGACUCAUGACCUCACAUCACAGGGUCAUACUCCUUCAUCACAGUUCACUCCUUCUGCUUCUAUUGUCAUAUUCCUUCUCUUUCUGACCCUAACUCUGCUGCUUCCUUCACAAAAGGACUUCUGGGAUUACUUUUAACUCCCCAGAUAACCUCGGAUAAUCUCCCUAUCUAAAAAUUCUUAAUCACAUUGACAGAAUCUCUUUUGCCAUACAGAGUAACACAUCCUCAAUUUCUGAAGACUAGAGCAUGAACAUUUGUGGGAGGCAACUAAUCAGCCUACCAAAUGAUGCUUCACACCUUUCAGAGCACUUUCACAUAUAUGUCCCUCCGCCCCACCUAUUACAGAAUCUGUUGGGCCCAGUGAAAAAAAUUCAAGAGUGACAGCAGAGCAUUAAGCCAAAUGUAGGGCUCUGAUGAAUGCAAAGGUCAUCUGCCCAUAAACCCAGCUCUGCUGAUCCCCUUCCUCUUCAGUGGCUCUUUCUCUUCUGCUUCCAAACCUGAGUAGGUAUUUCAAAGCUUAAAAACAUAAAACUUUGCUGCUUGAUUCUUCCAGCUAUAUUUCCAUGUCUCCUCUUCAUUUUUCUGUCAAACCAGUACUUCUAACCCACCCAUUCCAAUGUAUAAAUGUACUUAGAAUAAAAGGAAAGCAUUUUUUUUAUUGACUCCAGUGGACUUUCCUUAAGAGUCCUUUGUGCUGCAUUGGGCAUUGAUAACACAUAUACUGUGUGGGAUUUUGCUACACAAAAAUUUUGAGACAUUAGAUUACAAACUUUACUAUUUUAAAAUCUCAAGCCCUUUAAUGGCUCUCUGAUAUCAAGGGCUGAAUCCAUGGCCUACAGGUCAGAAUCCUUCCAGAUAUGACACUGAACAACUUGAGUGGUUGGUUGACGGCAAGAAAGUAGACAAGGAACUCUGAUGGAGGAAUCAGCUGAGUUUAGCUUGGGGAGAUGGAGCAAGAACUCUGAUUGCCAACCCCACAAGACUUCAAGGAAUGGCAAGAGGAAGUUGUACAAAUAAACAGCAAGGCUGCUAUCUUCUAUCAUCAAUAGAGAGGAAGGGAUGCUGGUCAGACAAAAGAAAUAAAUGUCUCCUUCAGAAAGUCAUUCUUUUCAUUCUAAGUACUUGUUUUGAAUUCACUUUCUUUACCUCAGCUUGUAUUUGUACAUUCAUUAAAUUAUCAAAGAUAUUCUGGUUGUGGUACAACAAAAAGCACAAAUCAGGACACUG